rnacentral:tRNA from 1 species
UCCCGGGUCGUCUAACGGCAGGACAGGAGACUUUGGAUCUCCGAAUCGGGGUUCGAAUCCCUGCCCGGGAA